CCUACGGGAGGCAGCAGUGGGGAAUAUUGCACAAUGGGGGAAACCCUGAUGCAGCGACGCCGCGUGAGUGAAGAAGUAUCUCGGUACGUAAAGCUCUAUCCGCAGGGAAGAAAAAAAGUCUUUGGCUUUGGACGGUACCUGACUAAGAAGCCCCGGCUAACUACGUGCCAGCAGCCGCGGUAAUACGUAGGGGGCAAGCGUUAUCCGGAUUUACUGGGUGUAAAGGGAGCGUAGACGGCGAUGCAAGUCUGAAGUGAAAGGCGGGGGCCCAACCCCCGGACUGCUUUGGAAACUGUAUGGCUGGG
rnacentral:rRNA from 1 species